rnacentral:lncRNA from 1 species
UUGGGGCACGGCUUCGGGCGCGACUUCGAGUCACGGCGAAGGCAGAGCAGUGGCGUCGCGGGCUGCAGGCGAGGUGCGGCGAAGGCAGCAGUGGGCCGAGCAAGAGCGACGUCGGGGCAUGGCGAAGGCACGGUAGAGCAGCGGCGUCGCGGGCUACAGACGAGGUGCGGCGAAGGCAGCAGCGGGCGGAGCAGGAGCGACGUCGGUGCGGGCUGUAGGCGAGGCGCGGCGGGAAUGCUAUUUGGUGGCGUCGAGCAGAGGGCGAAGAGAGAACAGACUGGUGGGUGAAGCAGCAACCAGAAAGAGGAGGAAGAAGAAGAAUGGGGGGUUUCGGCUGAGAGAGGGGGUAAGAGGAGAGAGAGAAGAAAAGAAAAAGUAGGGGUAGGGGGGCAGGAA